rnacentral:lncRNA from 1 species
GACAGUGCCCUAGAGCUGUGGCUAAACUCCCAGUGCCUUCCUGGAACCCCAGGAGGAGAAGGGGCCACAAGAGACCAGGGAUAGGGAGGGCUUGGGCUGGGCUGGGACGGCCCCCCAGGAGUGGCUCAGCCUGGACUGGGCAGGGCAUGGAGAAAGGGAGAGGAACUCGGGAAAGGGGCUGUGGUCGGCUAAAUUAGGCCCCGCGGGGACAGUCGUGUCCCAAUCCUGGACCUGUCUAUGUGUCAUGUGUGGCCACAGGGACUUUGCAGAUGUCAUGUCAAUUAGGAGCCUGAGGUGGGAAAUGCUCCUGGGUUAUCCAGGCACCCGUCCCAGUCACCGUCCCUACCAGAAGUCCCUGUCCUGGGCAUCUGCUCUGAGGUCUUCCUCCAGUGGAGGAAUUGCCCCGUAACUGGGACCCACAGAGGACAGAAUCACAGAAGAGGGCAGGAGCCCAGGCAAGGAGGGGCAAAGAUUCCAGACCUCCAGACAGGCUUAGACCUUAGCCUUCGACAGACAGGAAAGGGAAAAACUCCCCGUGUUUAACUUGGGAUCUCAAAGAGGAGAGA